GGUGGAAAAGGAGAUUUUGACAUGCCAAAAAAAUCCCCAUUUUUUCACAUACACACUCAUGUGUUUCUUGCUUCAAUUGAUUGCUAUUGACAUUAGUUAGUUAGGUCCAGAACCACAUCAGGCCACUAAUUCUCUGUUAAACAUAGAUAAGCAACACGGUUCGCCACAUAUGGAAAAAAGUUGGCUAGUUUGUUAAUCUUGAUGAUGACUGACUGACCUCUAAACAAGGUUACUAUUAAUCUAUUAUAUAUGAAUACAGGAGCUAAUUGCAUGCCCAAAUUAAUGCAGUGUUUUUGUGGAUGCUGACAAGGCAUGUUGUACAAGUGAUGAAGUGGUGAGAAGAAUUGACUGAUAGGAACAGUAAUUUUCUUAUUGACGAGAACAGUAAAAUUGCUAUCCAAUAAAGCAUGAAUUAUAAGUUGUAAUGUGGAGGACUGUGUGUUUGCAAUCAAUUAAAAACAAUACAUAAUCUUCAAUUGCACUUGUAUAUAUGGGACUCUUGAAUUUGUAUGCUUCAGGUUUUUGGUGGUGCUUGUCAAAGUUGCCAGCAAUCUCUGGAAGCUGAGUAGAUAUACUUAGUGGUGUGUGAGUGUGCUUAUUGUGUGACAUGAAGAUUAUUACAGCACAUGGUGAAAACGGCAGAGUUAGGUAUACAUGGUAAAACCCUUUUAAUUUUACCCUUUUUCACCGUGGAAAUAAUGGUGUUAAUUAAUCAACAAGUUAUAAAAUGUUCUAGUAAAGAAGCUUAGGGGAAUGAAUGAUGGUGUGGUGGCCAUUAACAAGGCGAGGUGAAAACACCUCACAUAGCAUUACCUAUUGUAGUGGAUAGAGAAUGAGAACUCCUUUUGAAGACUAGGCAAGCACAAAAGUUGCAUCAAUUCGAACGAUCAUCCUAAUUAACAAGUCAAUGUUGAAGUCUUGCAAAAAAUACCAAAGAAACCUGAAGUGUGCGGUUUAGUGCCUACAUUCAUCCAUCCUUUUUGCAACAGCUGGAGCAUCUAAUCCUGCAAGCUACUAGUAUAAUUAUGAGUUUAAUUUGCACUACACGUCAGUCAUCCAAUGCAUUUUUCCCAUAUAUUAAAGGGGGGCAAUGGUGUUUUUUCCCAACUUUGAAGCUCAAUUGUGAUUUUGCCCUGUUUAUUUUAAACUGAAGCUACAGUUUGUCCCUAGUUUACUUUAAACUUCUGUUAGUUGGAGCUAGAUUAAAAGAAUUACUAAAAGAAAACGUUGAAAAAUUGUUGAUUGACUAAACUACACAUGCCUUAUCUCUGCCAUAUAUAGCCUCUCAUCGUUUGCUCAACAGUUGAUAAGCCUCGGAAAAAUGAACGAAGCAACAAAAAAUAAUUUAUAGAUAAGAAUUUUAUAUUUGUGUUAUAUGUGAUUGGUUGCCAUAUACUCCCUCCGUUUUUUAAAUAUUUGACACCAUUGACUUUUUAAGUACAUGUUUGACCAUUCGUCUUAUUAAAAACUUUUGUGAAAUAUGUAAAACUAUAUAUAUAUAUAUAUAUAUACAUAUAAGUAUAUUUAACUAUGAAUCAAAUGAUAGGAAAAGAAUUAAUAAUCUAUUAUAUACUAAAAGUCCAUUAAAUUUCCUACAAACGCUCCCAAGCCGUCACGUGGCGCUCUAAUAAAUUAGAGAAAUCCAAAAAAAUCUGAGAAAAAAGCAAAACAUCCAACCGUUAAUUUUCACUUAAGAUGGUGGACCCAUUAUUCUUCACCAUUAGAUCUAUCUUAAAAAAAUCCUAAAACCCAAUCCAUAAUCUCCUCCCACCCCAACCCCACCACCUCACGUACGUACAUGACCUCCUCUCCCCUUCACGUACGUACGUACAUACGUCUCUCCCUCUCAUGUCCUUCCUUUCGUCUUGCCAUUUACCUUUCAAUCACCCAAUUUUCUACCUAGCAAAAUUCAAUAUGUAAAUAAAAGCAAAUUAUCUAAAUGAUUAUAAUUUUUACAAUAUAUUUAAUUUAUCUGCAUUGGCCAUGUUUGGAUAUACAAGAAUAUAUCAUUUGGAAAAAAAACUCCUAUCUUUUACAUGAAAAAUAAAAAGUAAUUAAAUAUUAAAUUAAUAACAUAUAUCUGAUCUUCGCUCCUCUCUCUCCUUGCUCACUUUCUCCUCCCUAUUUUUUAGCUCGCAACUCAGUAUACAAACAAAAAGAGUAAAUUUCACAAUACUAUAUCUAUCUAUCUAUCAUAUACUCUCUCCGUCCCAGAAUGUAACAACCUAGGAUGGGAUGAGACCUAUGCUAGGACAAUGUAUAUGGAUAUGAGCUAGGAUGGAUCUCAUCCUAUCCUAGGUUGUUACAUUCUAGGACGGAGGCAGUACUAAAAUUCUAUUAAACUUCCUACAAAUGAUACUAAGCCACCACGUGGCGCUCUAAUAAAUUAGAUAAAUCCAAAAAAUUAUGAGAGAAAAGCAAAAUAUCCGAGAUGAACCACCAAACCUAAGGCAGCUAAGGUGAUUUACCAAGGUCAUCACGAGUGUCGCAGCAGUACUGAUUUGCCAAGGUGAAGAUGAAUCAAAUUAUCAGUGUAUAAUGGUUUGUUUUGUUAAUAACAUGAAAACAAAUUGAAGGUGUGGUGAUAGAAAAAAAAGAAUCAAGCACCGAGGUUUGAACCA
rnacentral:sRNA from 1 species